GGCGGCGGUGGUGCCGGGCGCCUUCGCCUGGGCGGGUCCCCCGGCGGCGUCGGAGAAGGGGUCGUAGGAGGCGGCGUAGGAGGCGCUGUAGCACCGGAGGUUCAGCCCCGGCGUGGGUCCUCCGGAGACGGACUUGGUGCUGCCGCUCCGCUGCACGGCGGCGGCGGGGGGGCGCGACCAGGAGCUGUUGCUCCUGGCGAGCUGCUGCGGCGGCGGCUUGGUGGUCGGCGCGGGGGCGUAGCGGGCGGCGUAGGAGGCGCUGUGGGAGCGGAGGUCGAUCGCGGGGGCUGCGGGCUUGAAGGCGGAGCUCCUCUCGGCGCAGGACACCGACCUCUCCAUGGGCAUCUUCUUUGGCUCGCUCUCUCUGUCUCUG
rnacentral:lncRNA from 1 species